rnacentral:misc_RNA from 1 species
GGUACAUCAGUAUAGGCGAAUUUACUGGCAUGGAAAUAUUUUUAGGUGAGGAACAUGUCAAAAGAGCCUACACAUAUAUUUAAGAAACCUCAGCAAGCAUUACUCUCUGAAGAGCCUGAACUAGUAACAUUUAGGUUUUCCAUAAGAGUUGCACUUACCAUCUUAUGCAUAUUUCAGGAUAUAAAUGCACUGUACCAAAAUGAAUCUAUACACAACACCUAAAACCCCCACUAGACCACCCAUGUCUAGCUAGCUAGUUUAGGCAUUCCAGCUGCAGCUUGAAGGAAGAUUAUUGACAUUAUUAUUAUUAGGGUUUGCACCAAAUUGACCACUUGAGAAUGCUGAUAGUGAUGAGGAUGAUGAAGAUGAUGGCAGUGAUGACAUGAUUGCAUCAAUGUAUUCCAUCUGAUUUGUAGGCACUUCAUGUGGAUUAUAAGACCCUGAAGGAAAACAUGGAAGUCUAGCAAUUGGAUCAGUUAGUACUUCUUGUAAGGCAGCAGACGAUGAUGACGAUGAUUGGAUAUUGCAGCAAACACUUCCUUCAAUGAUCUCAGACAGCUUUGGCAUCAUAGGCAACAUGCCUUGAUUCUCAUAAUUAGGCAUUAUUGCAAUAGCUUGGUCCUGACUAAAUUUGUGAUCUCCAGUAUAAUGUGGACCUGUGCCAUUGCUCAAAAUUUGAUCUUCUUGAUGACUUGGAUCAAGGUGCUGAGGUGGAUAAGGCAAUGCCCACAUUGGAUCUAAGGAAGAUGAACUAUUAUUUAGUGGUGAUGGGAUUAUUGAGGGCGUGAAAUUGGCUAAAUCAAGAUUGUAAUUAUUGGAUUGGUUGAAUUUGACAUCUCCUUGGCCAAAACUUUGCAGCAUUGAAGCUGGGGAAGGAAGGUAGUGCUGGUCUUGUUGAGCAGUACUGAGGAUGAGAUUAGGAUUUCCAGUGAGAGAGAAGAAAGCUUCCUCAGAACCACCACUUGGGUUGUGAACAUCAGCGAAGGUGGCUAAACCAGGAACAUCAUGACAGAUAAGCUUCUUCUUUAUGCUUGAAUUCCAGAAGUUCUUCACUUCAUUAUCUGUUCUUCCUGGUAGAUGCUUAGCUAUCUGUGCCCAUCUGUUGCCUAAAAUACUAUGGAGUUCAACAAUGAGAGCUGCUUCUUGAGGAGAGAAGCUUCCACGUUUUAGGUCAGGUCGAAGAUAAUUUAUCCAUCUUAAUCUGCAGCUCUUUCCACAUCUCUGCAACCCAGCAUGUUUAGGAAUUGAGCUCCAGCAACCAUGGCCAUAGGUUGAAAUGUAGUUGAUGAGUUUCUCAUCUUCUUCUGGUGACCACAGUCCUCUCUUAACUUUCUGUUUGUUGCAGCAUGAGUGAUGACCCAUCACUCUCCCUCCCUCUCUCUCUCUCU